UGGGGAAUUUUGCACAAUGGGGGAAACCCUGAUGCAGCGACGCCGCGUGAUUUAGAAGGCCUUCGGGUUGUAAAAAUCUUUUCUAUGGGAAGAAAAUGACAGUACCAUAGGAAUAAGGACCGGCUAAUCACGUGCCAGCAGCCGCGGUAAUACGUAAGGUCCGAGCGUUGUCCGGAAUCAUUGGGCGUAAAGGGUACGUAGGCGGGUAAGCAAGUUAGAAGUGAAAUCCUAUAGCUCAACUAUAGUAAGCUUUUAAAACUGCUCAUCUUGAGGUAGGGAAGGGAAAGUGGAAUUCCUAGUGUAGCGGUGAAAUGCGCAGAUAUUAGGAGGAAUACCGGUGGCGAAGGCGACUUUCUGGCCAUAACCUGACGCUGUGGUACGAAAGCGUGGGUAGCAAACAGG
rnacentral:rRNA from 1 species